rnacentral:tRNA from 1 species
AGGUGAUUGACGGAAUUGGCAGACGUUCUAUGCUUAAACCAUAGUGCCUUAAGGCGUGGGGGUUCGAAUCCCCUAUCACCUA